GUAGGGCAGUUUGGUAGCUCACAAAGCUAAUAACCUUGGGGUUACGGGUUCGAU
rnacentral:tRNA from 1 species